CUACAAAAUUUGAGAACGGUUAUUUUUCUCGAUUUAGAUGAGUUGACAUGUGAGACGCGUGUUAGAUGGACGUGGAACUACAUAGUGUUUAUUGGUUCCGGACAAAGAAUAAAAGUUACUGGACGUAUUAUUACAUUUGAAUGUUCAUCGCACGUAACCGCUAGGUGGCGCGUCAUGUAUUUCAUGCAUUAGUGCACCCAUCUAUGCAUAGAUUUAUUUGGGCCAAGUUGGGCGCUCUUUUUUAUAUUGUGAAUUGUUUGGUGACAGCCGAUAAAUCUGUUGACAAUACACAAGACAAAAUCGAGAUAAAAAUUAUUUAAAUUCUGC